GUUGAAACGCCGUUUCUCGUGCGCUCACCGAAGUUAAGCAACGUCGAGUUUGUUCAGUAACUAGAUGGGUGACUGCUUGGGAAAACCAGGUGACGU